rnacentral:rRNA from 1 species
UGGGGAUGACGUCAAGUCCUCAUGGCCCUUAUGGGUAGGGCUUCACACGUAAUACAAUGGUCGGUACAGAGGGUUGCCAACCCGCGAGGGGGAGCCAAUCCCAGAAAACCGAUCGUAGUCCGGAUUGUAGUCUGCAACUCGACUGCAUGAAGUCGGAAUCGCUAGUAAUCGCGGAUCAGCAUGUCGCGGUGAAUACGUUCCCGGGCCUU